GGCUUUAUAGUCUAAAUAAUUAUGAUGUUAGAUUGCAAAUCUAGAGAUGUUCUUUAACUAAAGCCU
rnacentral:tRNA from 1 species